GCGCGGUUAGCUCAGCUGGAAGAGCACUACCUUGACAUGGUAGGGGUCGCAGGUUCAAGUCCUGCACCGCGCACCA
rnacentral:tRNA from 1 species